rnacentral:rRNA from 1 species
GUCCAGACUCCUACGGGAGGCAGCAGUGGGGAAUAUUGCACAAUGGGGGAAACCCUGAUGCAGCGACGCCGCGUGAGUGAAGAAGUAUUUCGGUAUGUAAAGCCCUCUCAGCAGGGAAGAUAAUGACGGUACCUGACUAAGAAGCCCCGGCUAACUACGUGCCAGCAGCCGCGGUAAUACGUAGGGGGCAAGCGUUAUCCGGAUUUACUGGGUGUAAAGGGAGCGUAGGUGGCAGGGCAAGUCAGAUGUGAAAACCCGGGGCUCAACUCCGGGAGUGCAUUUGAAACUGUCCAGCUAGAGUGCAGGAGAGGUAAGCGGAAUUCCUAGUGUAGCGGUGAAAUGCGUAGAUAUUAGGAGGAACACCAGUGGCGAAGGCGGCUUACUGGACUGUAACUGACACUGAGGCACGAAAGCGUGGGGAGCAAACAGGAUUAGAUACCCGGGUA